rnacentral:tRNA from 1 species
GCCUGGGUGGCUCAGUCGGUUGAGCGUCUGACUUCGGCUCAGGUCAUGAUCUCGCGGUCCGUGGGUUCGAGCCCCAUGUCAGGCU